AUCCCAGCCAGCGGGCCAGGCCUCGGUGGAGGGCGCUUGGGGCACCGCUGCCCCCCUCCAGCAGGGACCCGGGGUGGAGGACAGGGAGGGGAAGGACUUUCCUGGUUACCUGCCUCUACACUGAGAGCAGCAAGGCCAGCCCGCAGCGGAGCAGAAAGGCCCACCAGUGCAGCGGAAGGGGCUCACAGCGCAGACCCUCACCCGAGGCCCGAAGGUGAAGGUGGGGCUGGAGGCGGCGCUUGGCGCCCUCCCUUCUUAAGGCUGCCGUGGGCCCAGCUGCUCCCUGUUUUGCAGAAAAUGGCUCAGGCUUCUAAGAUCUGCAAACCCUCAUUUUUACAUGAAAUCGAUUUUUAAAAAACGCGUUCAACCAACACUGUACAGGCCAAGCCCACUGGGCAUGCUGACUGUGGCCCAUGGGCCUCCCCCGGAGACCUCAGUUGGGGUGGGGGUGGGGAGGCGGCACCUGCAGGCUGGGACGGGACUGGGCUGGAGCCGGAGCAGCUGGCUGGGUGGGACUCACCAGCCCUGGAGCCCAAAGCAGGAUGUCUCACGUUUCAAAAGGCAUUAGCACGUUUCUGGAAGUUCCUGGGCAGAAGAGCCAGCCAACUCCCCCUGCCCCAUCCCUGGCCUGGGUAAGUAAGAGGGGACCGAGAUGGGGCAGGGAGCUGUAAUCUCACUGCCCUGGGGGCCUCCAUUUUGCCAAUAACAAUGGGUUUCCUUUAUGGAACAAAAUUUAAUAUAGUCAGAUUUAUUGAACUUGAAAAUUUGCCCCAAAGCCACACACUAUUGUAGAAACCUUUUUGCCUCCAAGUGUCUUUUCAGCUCUCUGGGCUCCCCUUGGGCCCUCUGUCACCAGCGCUUCACUCUCUGUCUGUCACACCCCCUCCUCCACCUUGUCAUGGCCUCUGCUGGAAACAGUAACAGUCUUUUUUUUUUUUUUCCCCACUUUUUAGGACCGCACGUGCAGCAUAUGGAGGUUCCCAGGCUAGGUGUUGAAUCACCGCUGCCACUACCAGCCUACACCAGAGCCACAGCCACACCAACGCCAGAUCCGAGCUGCGUCUUCGACCUACACCACGGCUCAUGGCAAUGCCUGAUCCUUAACCCACUGAGCGAGGCCAGGGAUCGAACAUGCAACCUCAUGGUUCCUAGUCGGAUUCAUUUCCACAGCACCACGACGGGAACUCCUGGAAACAGUAUUUCUGAAGCCAGCUUGAUACACAACCUAAAGCUAUUUCUUUUGACUAAAAUGACUCAUCUUGCCCCAAGCCAGCCCCUGAACUUGGACCAGGGAUUGGUGUCUGACGGAGAUAAGGUUUGAGAUGAGUGUCUCUCUACUUGUGGGCCUGGGUUUUCUAACCUGUGAUAUCAAAAGAACCCCACAACCUCUGAGACCCCUUCUCACCUUUAACUCCCCACCACCAUCCUCCAAAACACACGCACACACCCUGGUGGCUCUCGGUCACCUUAUAAAACAACGUAAGGCAGGAGCUUAGGGACAGAGAGAGAGAGAUGCAGGGAAUAGAGAAGGUGGCAGAAACAGAGGGAAGGGACAGAACAGAGAACAAAGAGACACAGCAAGAAUCAGAGGACAGGCAGCCAGAACCGAGGCCCUCCAGGGCUGGCAUCUGCCCCGAGGAGCGCCUGAACAGAAGGAUCCUUGCUGGCUCUUCAGAGGCACCUCAGAGACGCUCCAGUGGCCAUGAGAUGGGCCAACACUCGUCCCCAACACCUCCUCUGCCCCACCCCCUGCUCAGCUGCUCAGACACCCAGUCAGAGGGUCCAGGCAGAAUCCUCCAGGAGGGACCCCAGUACUCACUCUAGCCCCCCGCUCCUGGAGGGAGGAGCCAGGCUCUGGCCUAGAGGCCUCUGGGGGGUGGAGGUCAAGGUCAAGGUGGGAUGCCCCCAGUCCAGAGGAGCAGGUCCUGGGUCCGCAAUGGAAGCCAGAGGCCAGCCCAAGUCCCUCUGGGCAGGGCUGGGCAGGGCUGGGCAGGGCUGGGCUGGGGCAGAGGCAGAGUGCUGCUGGGCGGUUCUCUGGGGAGAAGGGAAUUGAAAAGCAUCUCUAAGGAGGGCAGGGAAGGCGGGAGGCUGGGUGGUGUGCGCGCACGCACACACACACACACACACACACAGCCUUCCUGACUUAGCCUAAGCCUCGCUCAGGAGAGGAGCAGUCUUCUCUCUGCCCUUGGAGCUGCUCUCUUGCUUCCCCGCCCAUCUGUGCUGUCAGCAGCACCAGCAAAGUUGGCCUCAAACUUGAAGGGACCUGAAGGCUCCGGCUUCCUCUGAACUCGGCUGGCCUGGAGAAGCCGAGCCUCCCAUUCCCCCGCUGGCCCUCGCUCUCCUGGGUGACGCCUCUGCCCCUGACCUGUAGGCCCCCAGACUGGGCUGAGGAAUGGUGCGCUGAGCUCCCGCUGGAGCCCCUCUUCCCGGCCUGGAGCUGGAGCAGCCCAAGGCCCAGGCCAGCAUGGCCAACCCCGGGCAGCCUCCGCUUUGCCCGGCGCAGGAGCCAGGCACCGCCUCUCCCCCAGACCUGCCAGAGAUGCAGACGCUCCUCGCCAAGGUGGGGGACCAGGAUGACGUGCCCCUGAAGGCGGCCAAGUCCCUCUCGGGGGCCCUGGACCUGGAGCACAACGGCCAUGGCCUGCCCUUCAAGGUGAUGUCCGAGGGGCCCCGGGAGGCCUCGCUCCCGCGGUCGUCCUCCCGGGCCAGCUCGAGGCGGGCGUCCUCCAUCGCCACCACCUCCUAUGCCCAGGACAGAGACGUCCCCAAAGAUUACCUCGUCCUCGCCAUCGCCUCCUGCUUCUGCCCCGUCUGGCCUCUCAACCUCAUCCCCCUCAUCUUUUCCAUCAUGUCUCGAAGUAGCGUGCAGCAGGGGGACCUGGACGGGGCCCGGAGGCUGGGCCGCCUGGCCCGGAUGCUCAGCAUCACCUUCAUCGUCAUGGGAAUCGUCAUUAUCCUGGUGGCCGUGACUGUCAACUUUGCAGUUCAGAAGAAAUAAAACUAACUAGAGGGAGCUGCUAGCAGAGGCAGGCCCCGGCCCGAGCGAGAACGCCCCACCCACACGCCCCACGUACCACGGAGGGCAGGACGGUGACUGCCACCUGCCCACCUGCCCCCUCCUGCUCCAAAAGCACUAACUUGGAGGGAAACCCCCAAGUCACCCUAUUGCCAGCCUGCACCAAACAGGAGAAAGGAGAGAAAGAAAGGAAGAGAGGAAGUGAAAUUGACUGUGAAACUAACCAAUAUCGUGGUUUAAUCUCAUGGACAUGGCCUGGUAUUUUAACCCCAGGGUUCUGGCUGGUUUCUCAGCCCCCAAAUUUCCUGGGAUCUACCAAGCAGCAUAUACUGCCAGAGUGAGAAGAAACCAGCCCCACGAACACGACUGUGGUGGGGAGAGCGGUAGCACAGCCCCCACGUGUCUGACGACCAGCAGCAAAGACGUGGGACUUUAUCUUUUGUAUUUUUCUUCACGUGGGAUUGAAAAAAAAAAGACUGUUUGCAUGCCUUGUGCUACAUGCCUGCUGCAAUCCCAGCCAACACCCCAAGCUCAGAGGCCCAGCGGCUGCUCAGCACGUGCCCUGAAACCCCCUGGACCCACAGGACGGGCAGCUGCCCUGGGAAGAAGCGGUGGCCACACUGAAAUCCUCCACCCGGCACAGGGUGGGGGCCCCGGGAGCUAUGUUGGUGGAGCCAGGACUAGGGACAGCACGACCCAUAGACCUCAGUUCAGCCUCAGGAGCCUCUCUGCCAAGAUGCCUCGUGGUCCCUCCUGGGGCCACCAACCAAGAACUCAUGGACCUGACCCACCUCCAGGUCAGCUGGUGAAGAGGAACCCAGGCCUGAGCUCUCUUCCUGCCGUGGCCUCUCAGGCUGUCUGGGGCACAGACUCGGUGGUUCAUGCAAAGGAGUUCAGGGUCCCCGGGCAGAGUGGCUCAGGUGGGGAGUGGGCUCCCAGCUUCCAGCCCACUCCCCACCCAGCUGCAUAGGAUGCUCUGGACCCCAGCCUGCACCUCAGGCCAGCCACCAACAGCCAAGGCUUGCCCCGGGGCCACCCCUGGAGGGCAUUCCCAUGGGCUCCCAGGCCAUGAGGGGUAUUGCUGCCUCCUGCACGGGUGUGGGUUGAAGAAUUUUUACGACGGGUUUUCUGUUUAUUGGGUCUAGAGAGUUCCAAGGCAGGGGGAAGAGCUUGGCUGAAGGUCCUAUCUCUGGGUUUGGCACUCACAUGUCCAGAAUCAGGGGGCUUGACCUAACGGGACCCCUGGAAGAAAUGAAGCAGGACCCUUGAGCCUCCUCGCUGGUCUUGCCUGCUCCUGUUUCCCCUGCUGGCUUCAGCCUCCAAGUCCCGGAGAGGGUUGUGCCAGGCUUCCCCACCCUGCGAGGCCCCACCUGCAGCCAGGGUUCCAGGGGUCUUGGGAGGGCAGGGUCUCAGACUGGCCCCAAGCUGCCGAGAGCGUUUCCUCUGCACAUGCAGGACCCUCCCGCCGCCUUCUUUCAGAGGCUCCUCUCCCCCGCCCUCCUCAGAGGCUCCCAGGGAGGGGCCUGUCAGCCCAGAGGCUCUGUCUGCUGGGAGGGGCUCUGCAUCCAGCACCGAACCUUCUAGGAGGGCCUGUGUGACUGAGGGGAGGGUUCCGGGCCCAGGGGCACUGAGCAGAUCCCUCUGGGGCUGGCGUUCCUGCAUCAGUCCCCCAGCUGGGAGCAAGUGCCCACCUCUACAGAUCCCACAGGAGCGGCCAGCUGCAUCUGCUUUGUGAGACCUUUGAGGCCAAAAGAGAGGUGCCCUUGUUUGUCUGGGGAUGGAGGGGAUGAGCCCAGAGUUAUCUGUGGCUCUUUCAAAGCAGGUCAGGCCAGGGGAGUCACGAGGUCUCUGACUGCCACGUUCACAGGCCCCAGCUCUGGAAGGAGGGGUCGUGAGGCAGCUGUCUCUGGGCGGGUCCCAGGGUCCCCAGCUUCAGCUCCCCAGGCAGAUGAGCGCAGUGAACCAGUCGGCUUAGGCACAGUCUCAUGGGAAAGCGGUGACAGAGGUGGGACUGUGGCCUCUGUGUCCCCUGGGACUGUCACACACACCCAGACCCACCCCACUGUCCACAGUCACACCCACAAAAGUAGCCCCGCCAUGCAGUCUCUCCACACACACACACACACAGAUCAUCCUGGAAACCCAGGAGCGUGGAGAAGCUGCCAGCAGCAGGACCAGACACAGAAGGACAGCCUUCCAUUCAGGCAAGAACGACUUGAGAGCUCAGAGGCCUCCAAGCUGUGCAGAGGGACAGCGGCUCCAAGAGAAGGGCCCUUCUGGCAGAGAGGAGCCCAGGGCCCCAGGGUGGCCAACACUUCAGAACGAAGAUUGGGAGGGAGGGUCCCCGCUGCCCCCACUCACAGGCCACCUGACACACUCAGGCCUCGCUGAAGAUCAAAGGACAAGGGCCCUGCCGUCCCAGCUCCAUCAUGGGUCCAGUGCUGGCGGCACAAACACAGCAGUCCCCUGGCUCGGGGCGCUGACCCAGCCCCUCCCCUGGUUCCAUAAAGCAAGCGCCACCCCCUGAUCACAACGGCCGACCCCAAUUUACAGUUCUCUCCUCUGUAUUUCUCAGCACGGAAUGAAAUAAAGCUGCCCAUCCAUGCUCA
rnacentral:lncRNA from 1 species